UACGUAGGGGGCGAGCGUUAUCCGGAUUUACUGGGCGUAAAGCGCGUGUAGGCGGUUGCGUAAGUUAGUUGUGAAAUCCCUCGGCUCAACCGAGGAACUGCAGCUAAUACUGCGCGGCUGGAGUGGCAGAGAGGAAAGUGGAAUAUCCGGUGUAGUAGUGAAAUGCGUAGAUAUCGGAUGGAACACCAGUGGCGAAGGCGGUUCUCUGGGCAUUACCUGACGCUGAGGAGCGAAAGCAUGGGGAGCGAACAGG
rnacentral:rRNA from 1 species